UUAAGUUCAGCGGGUAGUCCUACCUGAUUUGAGGUCAAAGUUUCGGUAGUUUCGAUAGCCAGACCACGAACGCUCGAAGCCAAGUCCGGCCUGCGUUCGUCGGCCUCACGACCAACUAAUAGCUAAGCCAACCCUGGUCGAGUUCCGAGUCCAAUCGAAGGUGAUUUGGAAGCAAACAAGACAAUCGAUGCAUGUCCGAC
rnacentral:misc_RNA from 1 species